ACCACGGCCACCACCCCCUUUCACAUACAUACCCAUCAUACCCUUCUGUUCCUACACGACACCUCACACCACAACACCUUGAUCCAUAAACAGUGUCAGAGACACGAGCAUGCCGCUGGACAUUCGCCGGAAACCCGUACUAUCGCCGGAGACGUCAGAAGUCACGACCGGAAUAAUCUCUUCGUUGCGGAUAAUCCCUUACGUUCGUUCUCUUGGAAUUCUCCAUAUUUACUCGAGCGUUAUUUACAAGAAUCGCAACGCAAUCAAGGUUGAAUGAUCAAGAAAACAAGAAUCAAGCUAGGAUGGACAUUAGAAACCCACUUAGCAUUUGAUUUAUUGUUGAAUGUUAUGUUUAUUUAUUUGGAACUAUGUACCCCACUUUACAAUUUAUGAAAUGAAUUUAAUA